rnacentral:lncRNA from 1 species
GAUAUCGGAUGCCACGAAGGCGGCACUCUCGUUUUUACGGAAUUGUCCGUACGUCACCACGUGCAUUACGCCAAUUUAAACGAGUUGGAACGACCAUCUAUGUCCUUCCACCAUGGGAACAAUGGCUGCUCAAGCGUUGCGGGCUGCCGAUUUC